UAGAACUUUCUGUUGUGAUAUUCUUGUUAUUGUUUUUUUCUAUCCGCCCUCUUGUUCGUUCCUCAUCCAUGAAAACUUAAAAUCUGUUCUAAAAUUGAAUAUUUAAAUCCUAGGGUAAUGUGAUAUCCACUCCUGCGAUAAAAGGCACCAUCCUACCUGCCAUCACCAGGAAGAGCUUACUCGAUGUUGCUAUUAGUCAAGGAUUCCAGGUUGAGGAAAUCAUGUGACAGUGGACGAUUUGCUUGAAGCUGAUGAAGUUUUCUGCACGGGAACUGCAGUUGUUGUUUCACCUGUAGGCAGCAUAACCUAUCUCAAUAAAAGGGUGACUUACGGAGGUAGUGGGCGUGUGUCGCAGCAGCUGUAUUCGGCGCUGACGAGCCUG